rfam:Asian citrus Psyllid, Diaphorina citri - Florida Strain, whole genome shotgun sequence.
GCCUAGUUAGCUUGGUUGACAGAGCGUCUGCCUUUUAAGCGCUAGGCCGUGGGUUCGAUUCCCUUCCGCGGCG